rnacentral:misc_RNA from 1 species
UAGGUAGUCACCUCCUGUCCAGUUCA